ensembl:lncRNA
UUUUUUUUCUUUUUCUUUGAGUACUUUAAAGGUAAUGCUCCACUGGUGCCUCAUUUGCAUGGUUUCCAAUAACAAAUCUGUUGUCAUCCUUAUUUUUUAUGUAUUUUUUUCUCUAGUUGCUUUUAAUUUUCUCUUUAUCACUGAUUUUAUCACAUCACAAUUUCAUUAUGAUGUGCUUUGGUAUAGUUUCAUUCACGUUUCUUGUGCUUAUGGUUUGUUGAGUUCUUGGAUCUGUGGGGAAUUACUUUUCAUCCAAAUUGGAAGGUUUUCAGCCUUUAUUUCUUCAAACACAUUUUGCCUGCCCCUUCUCCCUUCACUUUCCCUGCUACCACCCCCACCCUGCCCCCACAGGGAUGCCAAUUAUAUAGGUAUUAGGCCACUUGAAGUUAACCCCUUACUUACUGAUGCUCUAAGUUUCUCAUUUGUUUGCUUUCUUGUUUUGUUUGCUUACUCUUUUCUCUGUGUGUUUCCUUUUGGAUAGUUUCCAAUGCUAGGCCUUCAGAUCCACUAAUAUUUUCUUCUAAUCUGCCAUUAAUCCCAUCCAGUGUAUUUUUUCACCUCGAUAUUAAAGCUUUUAUCUUUAGAAGUUUAAUUUGGGUCUUUCAAAAUAUCUUUCAUGCCUCUCCUCAAAUUUUGAACAUAUGAAAAAACAGUUACAAUAAUUGUUUACCAUUAUGUUUAACAUUACCAAUAAUUGUUUACCAUUAUGUUAUAAUUCUAACAUCUGUGUAAGUUCUGGAUCAGUUUCAGUUGAUGGUUCUCAUUAAGGCUAUUCUUUUUCUGCCUGUUUGUAUGCCUGCUGAUCUUUGAUUGGCUACUAGACAUUGUAAAUUUUACCUUGCUGGGUCCUGGAUAUUUCUGUAUUCCUAUAAAUUUCCUUAAGCUUUGUUCUGGGAUGCACUUAUUUGGAAAUACUGUGAUCCCUUUGGGUCUUGUUUUUGUUUUGAGCAGGACCAGAGCACUAUUUACUCUAGAGCUAAUUAUCCACCACUACUAAAGAAUGAUCAUGCUGAUGCUCUACUCAUGUCCCAUGAACUGUUCCCCAUCUUGUAUGAGCAUCAAGUACUGUUCCCUUUUUUGCUUUCGGCUGGUUCUUUCCAGGGCCAAAAGUAAUUGGUACUUUUCUGAAUACUUAUGAGGGACCCCAUGAAGAUCUCCAGGUUCUCUCUUUCCUGUGGCACUUUGUCCUAAUAAUUCUAGCUGCUUUGGUCUCCCUAGACUCAGCUAUCUCUUCAACUCAGGGAAUCAGCUGGGCUUCACUCAGGUUCCUCACCCUGUGCUGUGGUCUGGAAACUCUUUCAAGGCAAUAAGGUGGGAUAAUCAUAGGGCUGACCUUGUUUGUUUCUCAUCUCUCUGGGAUCACGGUCCUUCACUGUGUGAUAUCUAGUACCUUGAAAACCAUUCUUUCACAUAUUUUGUUCUGUAUUUUUUGUUGUUGUUGUUUCAGCUGGGAGGGCACAUCUGGUCUCUAUUAUUCCAUCUAUGCUAGAAGCUGAACUCAAAUUUAUUUUUUAGAUAUAUGUGGUAAGAGUCCUGCAUACCUUUCCAAAGUGCUGCCAACACUUAUGAAAUUUCCCAAAAGGUUUGAACACAGGAACCUGAAGUCCCCAGCAGACUUCUCUGGACAUAAGGUGCUGAUUGACCUCUUAAGAUUAAGGUUGCAACUAAUUCAUCCUUUUGCUUACCAUGAUCAGAAGUGGAAGAAAGGUAGGCAAACAUAUGAAUUCUUC